AUUGAACGCUGGCGGCAGGCCUAACACAUGCAAGUCGAGCGGAUGAAGGGAGCUUGCUCCUGGAUUCAGCGGCGGACGGGUGAGUAAUGCCUAGGAAUCUGCCUGGUAGUGGGGGAUAACGUCCGGAAACGGGCGCUAAUACCGCAUACGUCCUGAGGGAGAAAGUGGGGGAUCUUCGGACCUCACGCUAUCAGAUGAGCCUAGGUCGGAUUAGCUAGUUGGUGGGGUAAAGGCCUACCAAGGCGACGAUCCGUAACUGGUCUGAGAGGAUGAUCAGUCACACUGAAACUGAGACACGGCCGAGACUCCAACGGGGGGCGCCGGGGGGAAUUAUUGGACAAGGGGCGAAAGCUUGACCCAGCCAUGCGGGGUGUGGAAAGAAGGUCUUAGAAUUGUAAACCAUUUUAAGUUGGGAGGAAGGGAAGUAAUUAAAUCCCUUUUUGUUUUAAGGUACCCAAAAAAAAAAACCCCGCCAAACUUCGUC
rnacentral:rRNA from 1 species